AAAUUGAAGAGUUUGAUCAUGGCUCAGAUUGAACGCUGGCGGCAGGCCUAACACAUGCAAGUCGAACGGUAACAGGAAGCGCUUGCUGCUUCGCUGACGAGUGGCGGACGGGUGAGUAAUGUCUGGGAAACUGCCUGAUGGAGGGGGAUAACUACUGGAAACGGUAGCUAAUACCGCAUAACGUCGCAAGACCAAAGAGGGGGACCUUCGGGCCUCUUGCCAUCGGAUGUGCCCA
rnacentral:rRNA from 1 species